rnacentral:rRNA from 1 species
ACGAAUGCUGGCGGCGUGCUUAACACCUGCAAGUCGAACGGAAAGGCCCUGCUUUUGUGGGGUGCUCGAGUGGCGAACGGGUGAGUAACACGUGAGUAACCUGCCCUUGACUUUGGGAUAACUUCAGGAAACUGGGGCUAAUACCGGAUAGGAGCUCCUGCUGCAUGGUGGGGGUUGGAAAGUUUCGGCGGUUGGGGAUGGACUCGCGGCUUAUCAGCUUGUUGGUGGGGUAGUGGCUUACCAAGGCUUUGACGGGUAGCCGGCCUGAGAGGGUGACCGGCCACAUUGGGACUGAGAUACGGCCCAGACUCCUACGGGAGGCAGCAGUGGGGAAUAUUGCACAAUGGGCGGAAGCCUGAUGCAGCAACGCCGCGUGCGGGAUGACGGCCUUCGGGUUGUAAACCGCUUUCGCCUGUGACGAAGCGUGAGUGACGGUAAUGGGUAAAGAAGCACCGGCUAACUACGUG